UGAGAACAUGAGAAAAUCAGAGUGGUGAGAGGGCUCUAAAGCAGGCUGCAGAGCUGGGUGUGAAAGGCUGCACUGAUGGGCGUGGCAUGGGAACAGAAACCCUUUCAGAGAAAUAACAGCCACUUAAACCCCUCCCCCAGCUCCCUGCCCAUCACAUCCUGCAAAAGAUGCUGGUGGGAAGAACAAAAGAAAGGAAAGAAAAGAUAAACCCCAGCAAAAACCAGUCAUCAGAGGGAGGUCAAUUUCAGCGUGACGUGAAAGGUGGACGUCACUAACUGGAAACUCUCUGACUUCUGAAGAAAGAAUCCAGGACCCACUCCCAUGAUAGUGCCCUAAAGCUGAGGUCCUGCUGACCCAAGUUGCUUCUCGUCUUGCUAUUGGCUGACACUGUUCAUAUAACAGUGGCUGUUUCACUUCUGUUUGAAAUAAACAAGCUGAAUUCUAUGGGAGAGAAGCCAGGAGUCAGAGCAGAGCCAAACGUCCAUCCAGGCAGCGGAAGGCAGAAGCACAGUUGUUCUGGGGAAGGAUGUGCCUCUUUGGCUAAGGAGAAUCUUGGAACUUUUUGAAUUGGGAAGAUAAAAGAUGAAGAAGAUGAUCUUUUAGAGGCUACUUGUACCAAUAGUUUGAGCUCCAAAGGACAUAUAAUGGCAUUUCAAUUCUGAUUUGGAGCCUGAAUUUGGGAAAGGAAGAAUCAACAAUAGUUGUCCAAGAGACAAGAUGUCCACCAUGCAUAUGUCUGAUGCCUCCCAAGGUCAGAAGAGGGUGUUGGAGAAACUUGCUUUUCGCCAUGUGAGAUGGAGUACGGCAAAUGUUUGAUCAGUAAUCAGGAAGAAAAGUGGAAUUAAACUGGCUACAGAUACUACCAAUUAUUCACAUGACCUUUGUGUUGACCCCAACGGUCAAGUGCUGCGUCCUUCAGAAAUGCUGAAGAAAGCACAGAGAUUCCAUGGGUGGAGAACUUAAGAAGUGUGUCCAAGUCUACACAGCUAGUGAGCACUUUAAAAGCCCUGAGAAAAUGUUAACUCGGUGCUCUCCCCCAACCCCUGUGAACCUCCAAAAAGUCUGCACGGAAACCCAUGGUCAAAGUCUGCACAGAAACCCAUGGUCAGAAGUCUGGAUGGAAACCCAUGGUCAAAAGUCUGCAUGGAAACUUUCUCUCUUGUCAGACACAUAUGCCUUUCUCAUCCUUACAAGGAAAGCAAGGUCUGGGGACUGGAGAGAUGCUUUCGGGGUUCAUAGCACUUGUUGCUUUUCUAAAGGAUUCAAGCACUGACAUGGCGGCUCCCAGCCAUCUUUAACUCCACAGGAUUUGAUGCUCUCUUGUGGCUCUGUGGGCAUGCACACAGUGUGGAGACAUACGUACAGACAAAACAUUCAUACAUGUAAAAAUCCUUAACAACCACAAAAACAAUAAUGACAACAGUCAGAAAACAAAGCAAUUUUUGGCUCCUGGCACAGCUUGGGGUCGAAGGGAGAUUGUGUUUCAAGUUGGAGAGUACUACAGUAGUGUUGAUAUGAAACUACAACUCUGUAACCUUCCUUUAUUUAGCUACCAGAAUGAUAGAGAGAUACCAGAGGAAGACCUGGAACAUCUGCCUGCAGGGCAACUCCUCUAGCCUAGAGACGAGGCUGACAGACACUUGGGAAUCCUCCAACUCCAAAUCUGAAUGUUUACUCUUUCAUUUACCUGACAGCAAAGCCUAAAAUCUACAACAGCCAACUUGGUCUAGUUCCACACUUGAUUAUAAACAAGUUAAUGACCACAAAUUUUUAGUGGAAAACCCCUUAACAUUUAAGGCACCAACAUUUUUUUCAUUUUUUAUUGGUUAUUUUUUAAUUUACAUUUCAAAUGUUAUCCCCUU